GAGGAGCUUGCUCCUCGAUUCAGCGGCGGACGGGUGAGUAAUGCCUAGGAAUCUGCCCAGUAGUGGGGGACAACGUUUCGAAAGGAACGCUAAUACCGCAUACGUCCUACGGGAGAAAGUGGGGGAUCUUCGGACCUCACGCUAUUGGAUGAGCCUAGGUCGGAUUAGCUAGUUGGUGGGGUAAAGGCCUACCAAGGCGACGAUCCGUAACUGGUCUGAGAGGAUGAUCAGUCACACUGGAACUGAGACACGGUCCAGACUCCUACGGGAGGCAGCAGUGGGGAAUAUUGGACAAUGGGCGAAAGCCUGAUCCAGCCAUGCCGCGUGUGUGAAGAAGGCCCUCGGGUCGUAAAGCACUUUAAGUUGGGAGGAAGGGCUUACAGCGAAUACCUGUGAGUUUUGACGUUACCAACAGAAUAAGCACCGGCUAACUUCGUGCCAGCAGCCGCGGUAAUACGAAGGGUGCAAGCGUUAAUCGGAAUUACUGGGCGUAAAGCGCGCGUAGGUGGCUUGAUAAGUUGGAUGUGAAAUCCCCGGGCUCAACCUGGGAACUGCAUCCAAAACUGUCUGGCUAGAGUGCGGUAGAGGGUAGUGGAAUUUCCAGUGUAGCGGUGAAAUGCGUAGAUAUUGGAAGGAACACCAGUGGCGAA
rnacentral:rRNA from 1 species